rnacentral:rRNA from 1 species
AAUAGAUACCCGGGUAGUCCACGCCGUAAACGAUGAAUACUAGGUGUGGGGGUUGUCAUGACCUCCGUGCCGCCGCUAACGCAUUAAGUAUUCCGCCUGGGGAGUACGGUCGCAAGAUUAAAACUCAAAGGAAUUGACGGGGGCCCGCACAAGCAGCGGAGCAUGUGGUUUAAUUCGAAGCAACGCGAAGAACCUUACCUAGACUUGACAUCUCCUGAAUUACUCUGUAAUGGGGGAAGCCCUUCGGGGCAGGAAGACAGGUGGUGCAUGGUUGUCGUCAGCCCGUGUCGUGAGAUGUUGGGUUAAGUCCCGCAACGAGCGCAACCCUUAUUGUUAGUUGCUACCAUUUAGUUGAGCACUCUAGCGAGACUGCCCGGGUUAACCGGGAGGAAGGUGGGGAUGACGUCAAAUCAUCAUGCCCCUUAUGUCUAGGGCUACACACGUGCUACAAUGGCUGGUACAGAGAGAUGCAAUACCGUGAGGUGGAGCCAAACUUUAAAACCAGUCUCAGUUCGGAUUGUAGGCUGAAACUCGCCUACA